rnacentral:rRNA from 1 species
UACGAAGGGGGCUAGCGUUGUUCGGAUUUACUGGGCGUAAAGCGCACGUAGGCGGAUCGUUAAGUCAGGGGUGAAAUCCUGGAGCUCAACUCCAGAACUGCCUUUGAUACUGGCGAUCUCGAGUCCGGAAGAGGUGAGUGGAACUCCUAGUGUAGAGGUGGAAUUCGUAGAUAUUAGGAAGAACACCAGUGGCGAAGGCGGCUCACUGGUCCGGAACUGACGCUGAGGUGCGAAAGCGUGGGGAGCAAAGCAGG